CAAGUAGACCGGGUGGCCGCUCCGAUGCCGGCUUGCCGUCAUCGGGGAGGAAAGUCCGAGCUCCACCGGGCAGGGUGCUGGGUAACACCCAGGAGGGGCGACCCUCGGAAAGUGCCACAGAAACAUACCGCCUCGAUUUUUUCGGGGUAAGGGUGAAAUGGUGAGGUAAGAGCUCACCGCGCCGAUGGUGACAUCGGUGGCGGGUAAACCCCACCUGGAGCAAGGCCGAAUAGAAGGACUAUAGGCGCCCGGCCUGUCCUCGGGUAGGCCGCAUGACCCCGGCGGUAACGUCGGGGCUAGAUAGAUGGUCACCACUCCGAUUCGUCGGAGCACAGAACUCGGCUUACAGGUCUACUUGGUCA
rnacentral:RNase_P_RNA from 1 species